CAGCCGCCGCGGGAAUACGUAGGGUGCGAGCGUUGUCCGGAAUUACUGGGCGUAAAGAGCUCGUAGGCGGUUUGUCGCGUCGUCUGUGAAAUUCUGCAGCUUAACUGUAGGCGUGCAGGCGAUACGGGCAGACUUGAGUACUACAGGGGAGACUGGAAUUCCUGGUGUAGCGGUGAAAUGCGCAGAUAUCAGGAGGAACACCGGUGGCGAAGGCGGGUCUCUGGGUAGUAACUGACGCUGAGGAGCGAAAGCGUGGGUAGCGAACAGGAUUAGAUACCCCGGUAGUCCCUGUCUCUUAUAU
rnacentral:rRNA from 1 species